AUCAUCUUUUCUUCUUUGUUGCUCUCUCUGCGACUGAGAGCGAAGCAGCUCUGCGAAUUGUCUUGGUGGGAAAAGAUCGCCGCCGGUGGUGUCUCGGGACUGUGAUGAAGAAGCCGAUGGAUGGAGAUCCCAUUGUUCGAUUCCAACAUAAUUAAGUCUUAAUUGUCUUGGCCGGAGAAGCAAAAUCAGCGGAAUCCGAGAGCGAUGGAGGAUAGGAAUAGGAUCAAAGCAAAGACGACGAGCCCUUCUUCGUGGUCUCUUCUUCUUUGGGUUUUUUUUAGACAAGAUUGCAAAACCAUGAUCGAGACGUGUAUGUAUGUCUGAAGCCAGAACUAAGGGGGGAGAUUGCAAAACCAUCAUCGAGAUUGCUUUUUUUCUAGGGUUCUUGCUUCCUCCUCAUUCCUCAACCACCAAUUCAUCAAUUCCUCUUCUCUCCUCCACGCUAAGCGACGAAGUAGAUUCAGAACACGGUCGUCGGCGUUCCUACCGUAACAGCAUCCGUCGAUCUGUUUUUGAAGAUUGAACCAUUCCAUACCUUUUUCUACCCUAGAUGCCGAGGAGCUCUCUGGUUCUCAUCCUGCUCAAGUACUACGGAGCUUUGGUGUGUGUGUGUCUCUCUUUACUUCUCAGAUUUUAUGUGCAGGUAAAGUGGAUUGGAUCUUCCACGCUUUUUGGAUCCUCUGAUUGGAGAGAACCUUUCGUAUGUUGUCAUGUUUUAUACAGAUACCUUUUUGUAUGGAGAUAUCUCGACAAAGGCUGCGCAUAUGCUCGCCUUACUUAAGGUAACGAUUGUUACACCAUUUAGUUUUCCGCUGGAGAUUCCACAUUGGGUGUCUGCUACUCUGUAUUUCCUUCCUCAAUCCUCACCCACCAAUUCAACUCAUCUCUCUCUCUCUUCUCCUCCCCCACGCGACGAAGUAAAUUCAGAACACGGUCGCUAUGCUAGGGUUUGGAGAAUUGUCGAAGAAGAUUCAGAACAAACACUAAGAAGAACUACUUCCCCCGUACAAUUUUUUAUCCCAUUACCUUUUGGUACCCUAAAUGCCGACGAGCCAGCUCUCUUGUGCUCAUCCUGCUCCUCAUGAAGCACUACAGAGCUCUCUGGUGUGUGUGUCUUUACUUGUCAGACUUUGAAUUUUGUAAUUUGGGAAAGUGGAUUUGGAUCUAACACGCUCUUGGAUUGGUGAUUGGUGAAGAUAUCCUAACUGCUAUGGCUACAGAGAUCUCUGGUCUUUGCAGGGAAAAUUGGAUUGGAUCCUCUCAAUGGAGAGACCUUUCAAUAAUAAAGUAGGUGAAAACAACAAUUCUCAGGUACGUAGUGGACAGCAAGGUACGGUAUUAAUUAUUCUUCACACUGAAUAUAGUCUCUUCCUAAUUGUAUUGGUUCCAUCUGUUUGAAGUAAUACGAUGUUUACUUGGCUAGGUAAGCAUUGUAAUGGAGCAAAUGAUGUGACCGCUCCAUUAUUUUAAAUUUGCUUUUGUUCCUUUUUUUGUUUUGAUCUCUGUUGGCUGGUUUUGUAAGAUCUUUCUUUGGGUUAUUUUGUCUUCUUUGUGAUGUUCUGUGUUCAGUGAGCUAUGGAGUUGGGUGGAAUCGAAGACUUUUAGCAAUGGAAGAUACACAAGGAGCCAAGUGAAGAGCCGAGAUGUUUGUUCAGUUGACUGGUGGACCUUCAAAUUAGUAUUCUUUUGGCGGUUUUGCUAACAGGCGAGUCUCCCAGGUGUUAGAAGGUAUGCUCAGUCUAUUAGUGACCAAGCCGUUGGGAUGGGAGUCAUUCCUGGAGUCUAACCAGAUCAGCAACUGGUCAAGAUUUUGGAGGAGAAAGUAUAUGGCUACACAUCCUUGUACUCUGAGCUGCAUUCACCGGGCUACCAGCAUUUCAGCUUUCCCUCUCUAUGCGAGACGAGAGGUAUGGAGCUGGUUGAAAUCGAAGAUUGUUGGCCAUGGAAGAUACAUUACAGAAGGAGCCAAGUGAAGUGCCGAGAUGUUUGUUCAGUUUACUGGUGGACUCGAGUAGGCUGCUUGCAGAGAAAACUCAAAGAUAAAGGCUUGUUCAGUCUGUUAGUGACCAAGCCGUUGGGAUGGGAGUCAUUCGUGGAGGUGGAAUCAUACCAGAUCAGCAUUUCGUGAAGAUUGUACUUGAUGAGCUAGUGAAGAUGAUACGCGGAGGAGAAGUAUCUGAGCCUACACUUCCUUGUACUCAGAGCUGCAUUCACCGGGGUACCAGCAAUUCAGCUCCUCUCUCUCCUCCACGUACCGAGACAAGAGCUAUGGAGUUCGGUUAAAUCGAAGACUGUUUGCAAUGGAAGAUGCACAAGGAGCCAAGUGAAGAGCCGAGAUCUCUGUUCAGUUGGCCGGUGGACUCGAGGCUACUGCUUAAAUUAGGAUUCUCUUGGCGGUUAGUCUCCCAGGUGUUAGAAGGUGUUAGUGACCAAGCCGUUGGGAUGGGAGUCAUUCGUGGAGUCAAGACCAGAUCAGCAGUUGGUCAAGAUUGUACUUGAUGAGCUAGUCAAACUGAUUAGCGGAGGACAAGUAUCCAAGCUACACUUCCUUGUACUCAGAGCUGCAUUCACCGGGAUACCAGAAAUUCAGCUCCUCACUCUCCUACACGCGAGACGAGAGCUAUGGAUUUGGGUGAGAUCGAACUGUUGUUGGCCAUGGAAGAUACACUUCAGAAGGAGCCAAGUGAAGAGCCGAGAUGUUUCUCCAGUUGACUGGUGGAAUCGAGGAGGCUGCUUACAGAGCAAACUCAAAGGCCAAGAUGCCGAGAAUCUAUCUGGUGCUCAUCCUGCUCAAGUUUCUUUCGGAUGCUUGCCAUGAUCUCCCUUUGAUGGCUGCUGCGGUAGUGUUUUUAGCACUUGGGAUAAAGAAACAGAGUAUCGACAGGGUAUCAAAGAAGGUUGGUAUGAUGGAGGUAGCAUUGCAAUUCCAGUGAGUCUAUAGCAUGACUGGAGAGAGCAAAAUCGUGUGUUUUUCUUUCCUAUCAUAAUAAAAAUUGUUGAGUUGACUUUCAAGAGGUGGUGGUGCUGCUUUGAGUUUCAAGGAGGUAUCGGGGAAACCGAUUAAACUGGUAAGAUGUGGGGAGCGAAUGGAGGAUCUUGAACCCUUUUAUCCUGAUCGAAUGUGGCUGAACGAAUUCUAUGAAUGGCAACAGAAGCUGUAAGUUCCGAAUGGGAGAUGUGCUUUUGUAGAGAAAGCAACAGAAGCUACAAAAGGAAAGCAUAAGUCUAUGCACUUAUAUUUUCUGGCAUUUAUACUUGGUUCUCUUUUUGCUGCUGUAUGCUGAUGAAGCCACGGUUGGAGUCCAUCCGGGAGGAAAUGCAAAACAAGGCUGUUGAGUUGGUGUAGUCUCCUGACAUUUUGAGUUAUUUUGGUUGAUAUGUCCAAAUAACCAUAUGAUUCGAAAUAUGGCAGAGAAUGUACCUUCAUUCCAAACAGGAGGAGCAUUAUGGUUUACCGAUCGAACAACUCCCGACAGCUUAUACAUCUUGAUCUUAACGGUUAUAACAGGAUUGACAUUCUUGAUAACCGUUGAGUGUAAUGCACAAAAAGGAAUGGAAGGGAAUCCGAUGGCUGGCACAAUAAUAAAAAAAAUGUUUUCCGGGGGUUUGCUCACCUUACGGUGCCCAUGACAAUGAGUUUGAAGUUAUUUAGGGUUUGUUCUUAAUAGUGUGGAUUUAGUAGCUAUGUGACAUAUUUAACAUAUCAUGAAGUUAUUUUUAAAUGCAACAAACCAACCUUUUUGAAUAUUUUUCAACAAGUAAGACUUUUUUUUAUUCAA